CCAGAGCGACGAGCGCCUGAAAAGCCUGUCGUUCAGCCACCUGCACCAAAGGUUCCUCCCUCAGCACCAGAACGUCUCCCAGCUAAAGUGCAAGAUGUACCCAGACCAGAGGAACCUGUCAUUCAGCCACCUGCACCAAAGGUUGCUCCACCCAGGACUGAAGCUGUUCCAACCAAAGUUGUCUCAGAACUGGAGACAUCUGAACUGCCAAGAAAAC